rnacentral:rRNA from 1 species
UACGAAGGGUGCAAGCGUUACUCGGAAUUACUGGGCGUAAAGCGUGCGUAGGUGGUUUGUUAAGUCUGUUGUGAAAGCCCCGGGCUCAACCUGGGAAUGGCAAUGGAUACUGGCAGGCUAGAGUGCGGUAGAGGGUAGUGGAAUUCCCGGUGUAGCGGUGAAAUGCGUAGAGAUCGGGAGGAACACCAGUGGCGAAGGCGGCUACCUGGACCAGCACUGACACUGAGGCACGAAGGCCAGGGGAGCAAACGGG